rnacentral:rRNA from 1 species
UUAGAGUUUGAUCCUGGCUCAAAACGAACGCUGGCGGCAGGCUUAACACAUGCAAGUCGAGCGCAUGUCUUCGGACAUGAGCGGCAGACGGGUGAGUAACGCGUGGGAACGUACCCUUCAGUUCGGAAUAACCCAGGGAAACUUGGGCUAAUACCGGAUACGUCCGUAAGGAGAAAGAUUUAUUGCUGAAGGAUCGGCCCGCGUCGGAUUAGCUAGUUGGUGGGGUAAUUGCCCACCAAGGCAACGAUCCGUAGCUGGUCUGAGAGGAUGAUCACCCACACUGGGACUGAGACACGGCCCACACUCCUACGGGAGGCAGCAGUGGGGAAUAUUGGACAAUGGGCGCAAGCCUGAUCCAGCCAUGCCGCGUGGGUGAAGAACGCCCUAGGGUUGUAAAGCUCUUUCAGCGGGGACGAUAAUGACGGUACCCGCAAAAGAAGCCCCGGCUAACUUCGUGCCAGCAGCCGCGGUAAUACGAAGGGGGGCUAGCGUUGUUCGGAAUUACUGGGCGUAAAGCGCGCGUGGCGGAUAUUUAAGUCAGGGGGUGAAAUCCCAGGGCUCAACCCUGGAACUGCUUU